rnacentral:rRNA from 1 species
AUGAACGCUGGCGGCGUGCCUAAUACAUGCAAGUCGAGCGAACAGACGAGGAGUUUGCUCCUCUGACGUUAGCGGCGGACGGGUGAGUAACACGUGGAUAACCUACCUAUAAGACUGGGAUAACUUCGGGAAACCGGAGCUAAUACCGGAUAAUAUAUUGAACCGCAUGGUUCAAUAGUGAAAGACGGUUUUGCUGUCACUUAUAGAUGGAUCCGCGCCGCAUUAGCUAGUUGGUAAGGUAACGGCUUACCAAGGCAACGAUGCGUAGCCGACCUGAGAGGGUGAUCGGCCACACUGGAACUGAGACACGGUCCAGACUCCUACGGGAGGCAGCAGUAGGGAAUCUUCCGCAAUGGGCGAAAGCCUGACGGAGCAACGCCGCGUGAGUGAUGAAGGUCUUCGGAUCGUAAAACUCUGUUAUUAGGGAAGAACAAAUGUGUAAGUAACUAUGCACGUCUUGACGGUACCUAAUCAGAAAGCCACGGCUAACUACGUG